rnacentral:rRNA from 1 species
AGCAGCCGCGGUAAUUCCAGCUCCAAUAGCGUAUAUUAAAGUUGUUGCAGUUAAAAAGCUCGUAGUUGAAUUUCGGGGUUAGUAGGCUGGUCGUGCCACUGGUACGUACUGGUCUCACUGAUUCCUCCUUCCUGAUGAACCGUAAUGCCAUUAAUUUGGUGUUGCGGGGAAACUGGACUGUUACUUUGAAAAAAUUAGAGUGUUUAAAGCAAGCUAACGCUUGAAUACAUUAGCAUGGAAUAAUGAAAUAGGACGUUCGAUCCUAUUUUGUUGGUUUCUAGGAUUGACGUAAUGAUUAAUAAGGAUAGUUGGGGGCAUUAGUAUUCAAUUGUCAGAGGUGAAAUUCUUGGAUUUAUUGAAGACUAACUACUGCGAAAGCAUUUGCCAAGGAUGUUUUCAUUAAUCAAGAACGAAAGUUAGGGGAUCGAAGACGAUCAGAUACCGUCGUAGUCUUAACCAUAAACUAUGCCGACUAGGGAUCGGAUGAUGUUAUUUUAAUGACUCAUUCGGCGCCUUACGG